CCCGGGCCUUGUACACACCGCCCGUCACACCACGAAAGCCCGCUGUACCUGAAGUCGGUGCGUUAACCCGCAAGGGGGACAGCCGCCCACGGUAUGGUUGGUGAUUGGGGUG
rnacentral:rRNA from 1 species